GAGCUCAGUAAGGUUGUAUCAUGGUUUCUGUAGAGGUUCUGUCUGUAACAGUGUUUGUAGAGAGCUCAGUAAGGUUGUAUCAUGGUUUCUGUAGAGGUUCUGUCUGUAACAGUGUUUGUAGAGAGCUCAGUAAGGUUGUAUCAUGGUUUCUGUAGAGGUUCUGUCUGUAACAGUGUUUGUAGAGAGCUCAGUAAGGUUGUAUCAUGGUUUCUGUAGAGGUUCUGUCUGUAACAGUGUUUGUAGAGAGCUCAGUAAGGUUGUAUCAUGGUUUCUGUAGAGGUUCUGUCUGUAUCAGUGUGUAUAAAUAGGGUUCCACCCACCUGUAAGAGUGA